ACUUAGUCUGAACUCAGGGGAAUGUGGGCCUGUGGUGGGCAGGAACUCUUCAGCUCUGGCCCCAGCAGAGGAAUAUGUGCAAUGAAUUUCCAUUCUGGAGAGGAUGGGAAGGCCAGGGGGAGGAGAUGACUAGAAACUCACAAGACAGUUUCUCACAGGUGUCUGGUGAGAUGUUGAUCUUUGUGAUGUGCGGGUUUCCCCCUGCUUAGCUGUGUGCCAUUUUGUCUCUAUUUCUUUUCCUCUUACGCUCUUUCUCUCCACGUUCUUUCCCAUAUAAAGAAUGCAGCAGUUACAUGAGCUGGGGCCUCAUCAGUAGCUCAUGUUCUUUCAUGCUUAAAGCAAGGAGCCUGCCAUGUAAAUGCUUGCUGCCUGGGCCAGAUGGGCUGAUGUGCUACCUCUUUACAUUGGGUUUUCCAGACUUAAUAAGGAAGCCAGCACCAAAGAUGAAGCAGUUUGAAGGCUUGGCCAUGCUAGCAGGCAAUCUCAACAAAGACCCUCAAGAGAGGUGCUCCAGAGCCUUUAGCUCUGCUGUCUGUAUUCUAUACCAAGGUGGAUUCUCCUAUUGAGCUCCCUCCGUUAAACAUCUUCAGGUUGUCCCACAACAGCUAAGCUUUCCUCUGCCACUUUUUUCUCAUUCAUUUCAGAGGGAAGGUAAAAAGGGGGAAAGAACAGUUACUAGCAGCAGUCUGACCUCCAACUACUGGUGAGAACAUGGACAAGUGGUUUUGUGAAGGGUCUUGGGAGAGUCGUUGCAAGUAGUGCCAGGGCUACGUGGCCAAUUCCAGCAUCAUGCUAGGACUCAAAGAGCAACUGAUGCUGUUUUCUGGGAGCUGAGGCUUUUUUUAUCAGUCGGAAGCCUCUGCCAGAUCUCCAGUGUGGCAAGGAGACUGCUUCUACUCUCUCCACAUCUGGACCUCAUUAAAUUAAUUUUGGUAAUGGCAAAAGCAACUUUAUCUUGCAUCUCCAUCGAAGAAAUGAGCCCUCUGCAUCUCCAAAUGAAGACCGAACUGCGGAAGCCUUUAUUUCUCUCACCGUGCCCCAUGACAAAUCAGCUGCAUGCCUCUUGAUCCAUUUAAUGAUGCUGCUUGUGGAGAUUUCACAGAGGCAAAAGAUUGGGAAAUAGUAGCACUGUUGCUUAUUUAUCUCACAGCAGACUCAGUGUAUUAAAUCACUGCCCCACUAAAAGCCUGUCUUUCUCCAAGACCCCUUUAUACGAGGUCAGCUUCAGCAAUUAAAAUGGCUUCUAAAUCUUUGGUUGUCAUUACAGCAUGUUUUUUUUUUUCAAAGAAUGCCAGCAUUCAUUUUAGUGCCAUAAACAUCUUGAGUAAUUGAGUAUUUUAUCUAAACAGAAUGGGAACUGUGGAAAUUAUUUUUAGAAUUUGAGCUUUAAAUAAACAAGACACUUUU
rnacentral:lncRNA from 1 species